rnacentral:rRNA from 1 species
GGGGAAUAUUUGACAAUGGGCGAAAGCCUGAUCCAGCCCUGCCGCGUGUGUGAAGAAGGGCUUCGGAUUUUAAAGCAAUUUAAGUUGGGAGGGAGGGUUUCUUGCUAAUUUCCAGGAAAUUUUACGUUACCGGCUGAAUAAGCACCGGCCAACUUCGUGCCAGCAGCCGCGGUAAUACGAAGGGUGCAAGCGUUAAUCGGAAUUACUGGGCGUAAAGCGCGCGUAGGUGGUUCGUUAAGUUGGAUGUGAAAGCCCCGGGCUCAACCUGGGAACUGCAUCCAAAACUGGCGAGCUAGAGUAUGGCAGAGGGUGGUGGAAUUUCCUGUGUAGCGGUGAAAUGCGUAGAUAUAGGAAGGAACACCAGUGGCGAAGGCGACCACCUGGGCUAAUACUGACACUGAGGUGCGAAAGCGUGGGGAGCAAACA